rnacentral:rRNA from 1 species
GAUGAACGCUGGCGGCGUGCCUAAUACAUGCAAGUCGAGCGAACGGACGAGAAGCUUGCUUCUCUGAUGUUAGCGGCGGACGGGUGAGUAACACGUGGAUAACCUACCUAUAAGACUGGGAUAACUUCGGGAAACCGGAGCUAAUACCGGAUAAUAUUUUGAACCGCAUGGUUCAAAAGUGAAAGACGGUCUUGCUGUCACUUAUAGAUGGAUCCGCGCUGCAUUAGCUAGUUGGUAAGGUAACGGCUUACCAAGGCAACGAUGCAUAGCCGACCUGAGAGGGUGAUCGGCCACACUGGAACUGAGACACGGUCCAGACUCCUACGGGAGGCAGCAGUAGGGAAUCUUCCGCAAUGGGCGAAAGCCUGACGGAGCAACGCCGCGUGAGUGAUGAAGGUCUUCGGAUCGUAAAACUCUGUUAUUAGGGAAGAACAUAUGUGUAAGUAACUGUGCACAUCUUGACGGUCCCUAAUCAGAAAGCCACGGCUAACUACGUG